rnacentral:rRNA from 1 species
AGCCAACCUUGAAAUACCACCCUGGUUUGUUUGAGGUUCUAACCACGGCCCGUGAAUCCGGGUCUGGGACCGUGCAUGGUAGGCAGUUUGACUGGGGCGGUCUCCUCCUAAAAGUGUAACGGAGGAGUACGAAGGUACGCUAGGUACGGUCGGACAUCGUGCUAAUAGUGCAAUGGCAAAAGCGUGCUUGACUGCGAGACCCACACGUCGAGCAGGUACGAAAGUAGGUCAUAGUGAUCCGGUGGUUCUGUAUGGAAGGGCCAUCGCUCAACGGAUAAAAGGUACUCUGGGGAUAACAGGCUAAUACCGCCCAAGAGUUCAUAUCGACGGCGGUGUUUGGCACCUCGAUGUCGGCUCAUCACAUCCUGGGGCUGUAGUCGGUCCCAAGGGUAUGGCUGUUCGCCAUUUAAAGUGGUACGUGAGCUGGGUUUAAAACGUCGUGAGACAGUUUGGUCCCUAUCUGCCGUGGGCGCUGGAAAUUUGAAGGGGGC